rnacentral:rRNA from 1 species
GGAUAAUUUAAUACCAAUAAUUUUUAUGAGCCCCACUUUCGUAUCAAGCAAUUCUAUAUAGUUAUAGAAAUUUUUAUGUUAAAACUAGUAACAAGAAGAAAACCUUCUCCUAAUGCAAGCGUAAAUCAGGAAGGAUAUACCACUGAUAAUUAACAUCCCUGAACCUACAGUAGCAACCACACAAGAAAACUCUACCACAUUCUAUGUUAACCUAACACAAGAGCAUUACAGGAAAGAUUAAGAGAGAAAGAAGGAACUCGGCAAACUUUAACCCCGCCUGUUUACCAAAGACAUCGCCUCUUGACCAAUUGUGAGAGGUCCAGCCUGCCCAGUGACUUCUGUUCAACGGCCGCGGUAUCCUAACCGUGCGAAGGUAGCGUAAAUCACUUGUUCUUUAAAUGAGGACUAGUAUGAAUGGCACCACGAAGGUUAUACUGUCUCCUUUCUUUAAUCAGUGAAACUAAUCUCCCCGUGAAGAAGCGGGGAUAAAUAUAUAAGACGAGAAGACCCUAUGGAGCUUUAAAUAAGUAACAACUGCCUUAUUAAUCUCUUAAUCUCAGGAAAUUUACCCCUUAUUCAGGCAUUUUGAUUACAAGUUUUAGGUUGGGGUGACCGCGGAGCAUAAAAUAACCUCCACAGUGAACGGGACUCAUUCCCUAAACCAAGGGCUACAACCCUAAGCAUCAAUAAAUUGACAGCGCGAGUUGACCCAAUAUCUUGAUCAAUGAACCAAGUUACCCUAGGGAUAACAGCGCAAUCCACUUCAAGAGCCCCUAUCGACA